UACGGAGGGGGCUAGCGUUGUCCGGAAUUACUGGGCGUAAAGCGCACGUAGGCGGCUUUGUAAGUUAGAGGUGAAAGCCCAGGGCUUAACCCUGGAAUUGCCUUUAAGACUGCAUCGCUAGAAUCGUGGAGAGGUAAGUGGAAUUCCGAGUGUAGAGGUGAAAUUCGUAGAUAUUCGGAAGAACACCAGUGGCGAAGGCGACUUACUGGACACGUAUUGACGCUGAGGUGCGAAAGCGUGGGGAGCAAACAGG
rnacentral:rRNA from 1 species